rnacentral:rRNA from 1 species
GAUGAACGCUGGCGGCGUGCCUAAUACAUGCAAGUCGAACGCAUUAUGGUUGAAAUGAUAUGAAGAACUUGUUCAGAUUUGAUUUUCAACAUUGCAAUGAGUGGCGAACGGGUGAGUAACACGUGGGAAACCUACCUCUUAGCAGGGGAUAACAUUUGGAAACAAAUGCUAAUACCGUAUAAUAAUUAAAAACCGCAUGGUUUUAGUUUAAAAGAUGGUCUUGCUAUCACUAAGAAAUGGUCCCGCGGUGUAUUAGUUAGUUGGUGAGGUAAUGGCUCACCAAGACAAUGAUACAUAGCCGAGUUGAGAGACUGACCGGCCACAAUGGGACUGAGACACGGCCCAUACUCCUACGGGAGGCAGCAGUAGGGAAUCUUCCACAAUGGACGAAAGUCUGAUGGAGCAAACGCCGCGUGUGUGAUGAAGGGUUUCGGCUCGUAAAAACACUGUUGUAAGAGAAGAAUGACAUUGAGAGUAACUGUUCAAUGUGUGACCGGU